rnacentral:tmRNA from 1 species
GGGGCCGAUCGGUUUCGACGGUGGUUGGUGAUUCAAGGGAAGCGUGCCGAGAAUGUGAAGUCAUCUCGCUAACGUCCUUCACAAACCAAUAAGUGCUGAACAAAACCGCACUGACUUCACCCUCGCUGCCUAAACUUCGCGCGAGGCCUUAAAAGUCCGUCAGCCCGCAGAUGCUUCAGCUGCGGAUCCUGGCGUUGUCUAUGAAGCCACUGGCGAUGCUCCCCGUCACCCGGGGUAUCGCGACAUUUCGGUGACUGGGCCCGUUAGCCGCUCGUCUGCAGCUAAGGUUAGGGCCAAGCAGAACGCAAGCAGACUGCGCACGGAGAAGUCUUGAGGAUUAGCCAUCGGACCGGGGUUCGAUUCCCCGCGGCUCCAC